rnacentral:rRNA from 1 species
AUUGAACGCUGGCGGCAGGCUUAACACAUGCAAGUCGAACGAGUGGCGGACGUGUGAGUAAUGCUUGGGAAUCUGGCUUCUGGAGGGGGAUAACGACGGGAAACGGUCGCUAAUACCGCGUACCAUAGGCUGAGCACAAGUGGGAUUAGGUAGUUGGUGGGGUAGUGGCCUACCAAGCCGACGAUGUCUAGCUGGUCUGCGAGGAUGACCAGCCACACCGGGAAGGUGACACGGCCCGGACGCCCACGGCAGGUAGCGGUGGCGACUAUUGCACAAUGGGCGCAAGCCUGAUGCACCCAUGCCGGGUGUAUGAAGAGGGCCUUCGGGGUGUAAAGUACUUUCAGCGGGUAGGCGUUACCUGCAGAAGAAGCACCGGCUAACUCCGUGCCAGCAGCCGCGGUAAUAC